rnacentral:lncRNA from 1 species
GGAAAUUUAUCCAAGCGCCGCACAGGGUUAAUUUAUUUUCGACACGCACAGCCCGGCGCACGGAAGCAUCCGGAGUCUCUGUGGACAGGUGACACACGUAGUGUGUACUCCCGUCGGUGCAAGCCUCAUGCGACCACUUAUAGCAAAAAUCACACUGGACCCAAGGUGGGGGUGACUCCAUCAGCGGGCCAGGUGAUGGUGGGAGGAGCAGCUGAGGUGGCACCAGGGGUGACUCCAGCAAGGGGGGCGGCAUCAGGAGCGGGCGAGAAGAGCCUCUUCUUGGGAGCCAGAGAGGAGGGAGGCUGCUUGGCGGGACGACGCUGCUUCAGAGUUCGGGGUGUCGUAAGUAUAGCAGUUGUCCUGAAAACAUUAAAUUUGACAUUUUAAUGCUAAUUGAAUUACUUUAAAUGUGGUAGGUCUACAUGACUGUAGACAAAGGCAGGCCAGACAAGAUAUGAGAUGCAAGAGUAACUCCAAAUGCCUCUUUCUCCCUCUUCUCUUGGUAAUCUUUCUAGGCCCGGCCUUAGGGUAAGACCGGACGAUGUCCAGGCUGAAUUCGAGGGCAUCUUCCUCAGCCCAGACAGCUUCGUCAGGCCCGGCAGCUAGUCCAGGUACAUCCAUGCCUGCCAAAGGACACAUUUAAAAAAUACACUUUUAAAUAAAAAAAUGUUUAUAUCCCCACCCUCCUGAUCCUUGUUAAAUACCCUGAUGUGAGAGUUGUAGCCUGGUGGUCUAGCUCUCUCUGCCAUCCACUAACCUAUGGAAUUUUUUUAUGAACUUUGACUUAUGGGACUAUUUACUUAUGUAUUAUGAACUCUGUUGCUUCUGAUGAACUGUUCCUACCUGAAGUGGCACCUGGAGAAGCGCUGACCUCGUCACCUGAAGCCUGGGGAGGAGGACGGUCUGUGGAAUAGGAUCCGGUGAAGUCCUUUUCCUCAAACACGGAGGGUUUAAAAGGCCAGAUCCCUGGACUAGAGAACCCGGAUGUGAUGUUCUUCACUGUUGCAGCCUCUGGUAAGGCUUCAGCAACGAUGGAGGGCACAUCAUAAAUCGAGAUGUUGGGGGCUCCUCAUCCACCUGUCCGCCGCACUGUUUACGUACCCCUUUAGGGGGCCGAAGACACUAAUGUCCAUUGGCUGCAACCUGCGGGUGCAGUGGGGAGGGAAUGACAGCAGCACUAUGCCGUUGGCUCUGCAGUAAUCGAUUGCUGCAAUUGACAGGUGGGACGGGUGAUUGUCCAGCAGGCGGAGCAGCUUCGACUCCUUGGACACGGGUGUGACUGGUGAAGUGGGCCAGGUACAGGAGGAAGUCUGGCUCCUUCCUCCAGCAAGUUGGGUUUGCGGUGCCAGCACAGCCAACGGGUCCACCCCUCAGGAAGUGGUCUUCGAACCGCUUACGGGGGAAGAUAAAGAAUGGGGGAACAAGGUCGCCCUGCGCAUUGCAUGCCAGGGCAACUGUGACCAGGGUCCCCCUCUCCGCUGAGGUCACUGACCCGACCUGCUUCUGCCCCAUCUGGGCGACGACACGCCUGGCACCUGGACAGUGGUGACCCCUGUAAAUAGUUGUGUGAGCAUAGUUGUGUAUAUAUAUAGUUAUGUGUAUAUAGUUGUUUUUAUAUGUAUAUAGUUGUUAGCAUCGUUUCUAUUUAGAUAUCUAGUUACGUUUAUAUCGUUUUUUUCAUAUUUAUAUGGUUGUGAGCAUAGUUUAUUUUUAUAAACGUAGUUAUGUGUUUAUAGUUGUGUUUUAUAUUAAUAUAGUUCAUAAAUACCGGUUUCAUUAAUGUUCCAAAUAUCCUUGGCCUGGAACUGGUGCCGGUCCAGCACCGUCUUUCAAUUUUGGUAGAAC